GCCUACGGGACGCAGCAGUGGGGAAUAUUGCCCAAUGGGGGAAACCCUGAUGCAGCGACGCCGCGUGAGCGAUGAAGUAUUUCGGUAUGUAAAGCUCUAUCAGCAGGGAAGAAAAUGACGGUACCUGACUAAGAAGCCCCGGCUAACUACGUGCCAGCAGCCGCGGUAAUACGUAGGGGGCAAGCGUUAUCCGGAUUUACUGGGUGUAAAGGGAGCGUAGACGGCUGUGCAAGCCAGAUGUGAAAGCCCGGGGCUCAACCCCGGGACUGCAUUUGGAACUGCGUGGCUUGAGUGUCGGAGAGGCG
rnacentral:rRNA from 1 species